GUAUGAUAAAGCCAAAACUGGAGUGAUCCAGUGACGGAAAGCUAUAGGGUCUCAUGAAGACAGCCAGUUACCUAA
rnacentral:ncRNA from 1 species